UUCCACUUUGCCGCCGCCGCUCAGAGCUCUCCGACCGCCGAUCAGAGCUCUCCGACCGCCACUCAGAGCUCUCCGGCCGCCGCUCAGAGCUCUAUGGCCGCCACUUCAACGUCUCCUUCACAGCUCAUUGAAAUCCCUAACUCUGGUAGUUUAAUCCUUCUUGGGUAAUUGAAACAAAUAAGAAAUGAAACCUUCUAGAGCGAGUGAAGGAUUAUCUGUUAAUGGAGGAAGAGUUUGUUGCUUAUCAAGAGCGGCUAAAACCUCAAGAGGAAAAGGCUGAAGAAGAUAGAUCUAAGGUUGAUGAUUUAAGAGGUUCGCCUAUGAGUGUCGGUAACUUGAAGAACUUAUUGAUGAGAAUCAUGCUAUUGUUUCUUCGUUAGUUGGACCUGAGUAUUAUGUUGGAAUUUUGUCUUUUGUUGAUAAGGAUCAGUUGGAGCCUGGUUGUGCUAUUUUGAUGCAUAAUAAGACAAGUUUUUAUGAUGAGAAAGAUUUGGAGUUAAUUUUGGUUUGGAUAAACCAUCCUGAGAUUAUGAGUCCUUUGGCGAAGUAUCACAGAUCAAAACCAGGCCUGACUGAACGUUUUGAAUUGUUUGUCAACAAACGUGAGCUUUGCAAUGCUUAUACUGAAUUGAAUGACCCUGUAGUACAACGGGAUAGAUUUGCUAAUCAACUCAAGGAUCGGCAAUCAGGUGAUGAUGAAGCAAUGGCCUUGGAUGAAACAUUUUGUACAGCUUUGGAGUAUGGUUUGCCACCAACUGGUGGUUGGGGUUUGGGUAUUGAUCGGUUGACCAUGUUAUUGACUGAUUCACAAAAUAUUAAGGAGGUCCUGCUCUUCCCUGCCAUGAAACCUCAAGAUUGAGCUUUGAACCAAAGCUGUUAGAUAUUGUCUCAAUGAAAUUAUUUACAGGUAUAUGAGAAAUGCAUGAUUAUUAAGAUGGGAGCUCAUUAGUUGUUAUAUCUAACUGUUAAUCCUCCGGUGUUGAGAUUACUCUUAAUGGGUUUUGAUGGCUUGCAAGAUUCUAUACCUUUUAUUUUUCUGUUUUUCUAUUUCUCCGAAAGGACCAAGGAAGCAGCGCGCUACUUCACCUCCUCCGAAAUCACCUUCUCAAGGAUUAUCAUGGUAUCUGGUGCAAUCAAUGAAAUAUUAAGAGUUGUAGAGCUCAUUCUUUCGAAGUUGCUCACUGAGCUUCAUAGCGAGGUUGACAAUGACGUUGAGCCAAAAACAAAAGUGAGACUCAUUGUUCCUAAUGGUUCUUGUGGCGGAAUAAUUGGCAACGAAGGUGCUACCAUCAGGUACAAACCGUAUUCUUUUGUUAAGUUCUAGGUCCUACUUGUUUGCCACAUGCAUGAAAUUAGUAUGGAUCAAGGUAACUUUUGAUACUUAUGCUUUUUUAUUUGUGUUCUCGAAAUAUGUUUUGACUUGAAGAGGUUGUUUCUUAUAUGAAUGCUUGUUCUUUUCCCUA